rnacentral:lncRNA from 1 species
GGAAGAGCAAGAAAGUGAACAUAUACAAGCCAGAAGGGGGUCCUCACCCAACCUGACCUUUUUGGACAUCCAGCCUCCAGAACCAUGAAGAAGAGAUUUCCAUAGUUUAAGCCACCCAAAUCUCAGAUCUGCAAAUUUUGACCCAGAAGAAACAGAUGGACUUGAUAGAAAUGAUGACUGUUACACAAAGUACAAGCCAGGAUCAAUAAAAUUUGAUACA